AACGAACGCUGGCGGCAUGCCUAACACAUGCAAGUCGAACGAGACCUUCGGUCUAGUGGCGCACGGGUGCGUAACGCGUGGGAAUCUGCCCUUGGGUUCGGAAUAACAGUUAGAAAUGACUGCUAAUACCGGAUAAUGUCUUCGGACCAAAGAUUUAUCGCCCAGGGAUGAGCCCGCGUAGGAUUAGCUAGUUGGUGAGGUAAAGGCUCAUCAAGGCGACGAUCCUUAGCUGGUCUGAGAGGAUGAUCAGCCACACUGGGACUGAGACACGGCCCAGACUCCUACGGGAGGCAGCAGUGGGGAAUAUUGGACAAUGGGCGAAAGCCUGAUCCAGCAAUGCCGCGUGAGUGAUGAAGGCCUUAGGGUUGUAAAGCUCUUUUACCCGGGAUGAUAAUGACAGUACCGGGAGAAUAAGCCCCGGCUAACUCCGUGCCAGCAGCCGCGGU
rnacentral:rRNA from 1 species